rnacentral:rRNA from 1 species
GAUCAUGGCUCAGGACGAACGCUGGCGGCGCGCCUAACACAUGCAAGUCGAACGAGAGAGGAAGAGCUUGCUCUUCUGAUCGAGUGGCGAACGGGUGAGUAACGCGUGAGGAACCUGCCUCAAAGAGGGGGACAACAGUUGGAAACGACUGCUAAUACCGCAUAAGCCCACGGCUCGGCAUCGAGCAGAGGGAAAAGGAGCAAUCCGCUUUGAGAUGGCCUCGCGUCCGA